GCUGGGCACAGUGUCACGUACCUGUAGUCCCAGCUACUUGGGAGGCUGAGGCUGGAGGAUCGCUUGAGCCCAGGAGUUCUGGGCUGUAGUGAGCUAUGACGAUCCAGUGUCCACACUAAGUUCGGCAUCAAUAUGGUGACCUCCCGGGAGCGGGGGACCACCAGGUUGCCUAAGGAGGGGUGAACCGGCCCAGGUCGGAAACGGAGCAGGUCAAAAACUCCCGUGCUGGGCACGGUGGCUCACGCCUAUAAUCCCAGCACUUUUGAGAGGCCGAGGCAGGUGGAUCACGAGGUCAAGAGAUCAAGACCAUCCAGGUCAACAUGGUGAAACCCCGUCUCUA
ensembl:misc_RNA Metazoa_SRP Metazoan signal recognition particle RNA